GAAACGAUGGAAGUCAACGUGUACAAAGCUGUAGCCACUCGGGUUUACACGUCAGGUGCAAAUAUGUUGUACCUGUUUUCUCGAAUUAGCAACUGUGAUUGGUUCGAUUGUAAAUGGACGUUUAUUGCGUCGCUUCCAGCGAAUGCAACUGAUUUCAAAUUGUGUCGCGAUAAAGAAACGAGAACGUACAGCAAUGGGAUCAUUCAACCGUUUGAUCAUGUGUUAGAUCAGCCGAGAGAGUGUUGGUUUAACAUAAUCGCACGUCUAAAUCGCAAGGAAAAUUCAAAUAUCGUAUGAGUUUGUCAGCCUCAAUUCAACUACAAGUUUCUUGAAAAUAAGUGGAAUUAAGGAAUACUUGGUGAGUCCACCUGUACUGGACAAAGUCUACAUAUCGUACAUCAAUAAACAAAUCGGCGUGAGGGCUCGUCUCAACCACCGCGAUUCGUUUGUGUGCAACUGGGCAACUGUGUGAAAACAUUUGCAAUGUUUCAUUAGGUUUCCUCUCGAGUUAAGUAUGUUUUAUAUCCUAACAUUGCUGCAGAUUUGUUACGUUAAAUAACUUUAAUUGAAUAACAGGUGGCGGUUGGUUGAGGGAACAUUUGUGUUAUGCUAAUUUAUUUGAAUAAUAGGGUAUCAUCUAGACACGUAAAUGCAACAGGGAACAAAAAGCGUAUUGAAAUCAUAGAAGGGAUGAAAUUGUGUCGAAAGUGAAUUCUGAUGCAUUAGCUGGUCUGUCAAAGAUGCCGUUAUUCGGUUCUUUACCGUCGAUGCAGUGCACCGUUUUGGGGUUAUGGUAGAAAGCUUGAUUGACGAAAUGGGAUCCGUUCAUUUGAUCUGUCGAUUUUGUUGUCCAUAUGACGGACUUGCGCACAAAGCAUGGAUCAUUACAUUUGCGUGGCAUAUCAAUGAAGAUGCUACAUUUAAUCCAUGAAAGUGAACGUAUUAUUAACAACACUUGUGUUUGUUUUUUUUUUAGUGACAAAAUUACGAAUUAGAGGUGCGGAGACGUAUUCCGGCUUUGACAGCACACAGGCCCACCAAGUACAUAUCAUCCCAAAUGAAAUAAGGCGUGGUUUGUACGGCUGCCAGAAGUGAACGAAUUGCACUGCCAGCAAUCACGAUUCCAGCUCCUUGAAAGUAGAUUGGAAGCCUUUGCCAAGGCCAAAUUUCGUCGUCCAUUUAUCUGC